UCGAACGGUAGCACAAAGGAGCUUGCUCCUUGGGUGACGAGUGGCGGACGGGUGAGUAAUGCUUGGGAAUCUGGCUCAUGGAGGGGGAUAACUACGGGAAACUGUAGCUAAUACCGCGUAAUAUCUUCGGAUUAAAGWGUGGGACCGCAAGGCCACWUGCCAUGAGAUGAGCCCAAGUGGGAUUAGGUAGUUGGUGGGGUAAAGGCCUACCAAGCCGACGAUCUCUAGCUGGUCUGAGAGGAUGACCAGCCACACUGGAACUGAGACACGGUCCAGACUCCUACGGGAGGCAGCAGUGGGGAAUAUUGCACAAUGGGGGGAACCCUGAUGCAGCCAUGCCGCGUGAAUGAAGAAGGCCUUCGGGUUGUAAAGUUCUUUCGGUAGCGAGGAAGGUGGUAAUGUUAAUAGCAUUAUCAAUUGACGUUAACUACAGAA
rnacentral:rRNA from 1 species